AGGGAAUCUUCCGCAAUGGACGAAAGUCUGACGGAGCAACGCCGCGUGAACGAUGAAGGUUUUCGGAUCGUAAAGUUCUGUUGUUAGGGAAGGACCACCGGGAUGACCUCCCGGUCUGACGGUACCUAACGAGAAAGCCCCGGCUAACUACGUGCCAACAGCCGCGGUAAUACGUAGGGGGCAAGCGUUGUCCGGAAUUAUUGGGCGUAAAGCGCGCGCAGGCGGCUUCUUAAGUCAGGUGUGAAAGCCCACGGCUCAACCGUGGAGGGCCAUCUGAAACUGGGAAGCUUGAGUGCAGGAGAGGAGAGCGGAAUUCCACGUGUAGCGGUGAAAUGCGUAGAGAUGUGGAGGAACACCCGUGGCGAAGGCGGCUCUCUGGCCUGUAACUGACGCUGAGGCGCGAAAGCGUGGGGAGCAAAC
rnacentral:rRNA from 1 species